CGAAAUGCGAUAAGUAAUGUGAAUUGCAGAAUUCAGUGAAUCAUCGAAUCUUUGAACGCACAUUGCGCCCGCCAGCACUCUGGCGGGCAUGCCUGUUCGAGCAUCAUUUCAACCCUCAGAACCCCUUGCGGGAUCUGGCGUUGGGGAUUGGCAUCCAGCCAGCCCCGAAAUCUAGUUGCGGUCCCUCCGCGACCUCCCCUGUGCAGUAGCGAUACCUCGCAGCGGGACAGCGGUCUGACCACGCCGUAAAACCCCCAACUUCUCAAGGUUGACCUCGAAUCAGGUAGGAAUACCCGCUGAACUUAAGC
rnacentral:misc_RNA from 1 species